AUAGAAACAAAUUUUAUAACUUUAAAAGUAGAACUGAUCGUUUUAAGAACAGUCCACUAGUCUAUGCUAUUGAUAAAUACAAUAAUAAUAUAUAAUGUUCUUACUAGAUGUAAAUAGAUAUAGUUUUAAUAACAUUUUAAUAGAAUAGUAGUAGUACCUAAUAUGUAAAUACAUGACAAUUAAGUUAUCUUAUUCCAUGUAUACUAUUAAAACC
rnacentral:lncRNA from 1 species